UUGUGGAGGAGGACGCCGAAGGUGGGGCUAAUGACUGGGGUGAAGUCGUAACAAGGUAGCCGUACCGGAAGGUGCGGCUGGAUCACCUCCUAACAGGGAGACAACAAAAUGUUUAAUAUUAUUUUGUCACCUUAGGUCGAUCGGUAUCUCAUGUUUUUAAUUUAUUAAGAAUUUCAUUUCCUAAGUUUUUCUAGGUCACACCCAUUAUUUUUCCUGGGCCAUUAGCUCAGGUGGUUAGAGCGCACCCCUGAUAAGGGUGAGGUCCCUGGUUCAAGUCCAGGAUGGCCCAUAUCUCUAUGUUGGGGGUAUAGCUCAGUUGGUAGAGCGCCUGCUUUGCAAGCAGGAUGUCAGCGGUUCGAGUCCGCUUACCUCCACUGAUUACCACCUCUUCCAUAAUCUGUAGAAAGGAAAUGUAUUGAGUUGUGAUCAAUUUCUGAACGAAUCUAGCUUCCUAAUGAAAUCAUUAAGAUGCUGGACUCAUUGAAUUAAUUUCAUUGUUUUCAGAGAACCUUGACAACUGCAUAGAUUAUUUUUAAAGACAAUAAGCAUCUUUAAUGAUGCAGAUUUAUUAUUUGUGCGAAUGCAUUAAUAACAAUUCUAUUAAGCUGAUGCUUCAAUUUUGAAGUUAUUGGUCAAGCUACAA
rnacentral:misc_RNA from 1 species